GUGCACCAGUCGAGAAUAGUCUACAAUGGACGAAAGUCUGAUAGUGCGACGCCGUGUGUGCGAUUAAUUCCUUCGGGAUGUAAAGCACUUUUCUAUGAGAUAAAAGCUCUUUAGGUUAAUAGCUUAUUGAGACGGAUAUUAUUAUAGGAAUAAGCUCCGGCUAACUCCGUGCCAGCAGCCGCGGUAAUACGGAAGGAGCGAGCGUUGUCCGGAUUUACUAGGCGUAAAGGGCUAGUAGGCGACUAAUUAAGUUAUAUGUUAAAUCCCACGGCUCAACUGUGGUCCUGCAUGUAAUACUGGUUAGAUAGAGUACUGUAGAGGAAGGCAGAAUUCCUGGAGUAGCGGUGGAAUGCGCAGAUAUCAGGAAGAAUACCAAAAGCGAAGGCAGCCUUCUGGGCAGUUACUGACGCUGAAUAGCGAAGGUGUGGGUAGCGAACAGGAUUAGAUACCCGCGUAGU
rnacentral:rRNA from 1 species